rnacentral:rRNA from 1 species
UAAUACAGAGGGUGCAAGCGUUAAUCGGAAUCACUGGGCUUAAAGCGUUCGUAGGCGGACCUGCAGGCGCGUUGUGAAAGCCCCCGGCUCAACCGGGGAACUGCUUCGCGAACCGCAGGUCUUGAGUCAAGUAGGGGCAGCCGGAACGAUAGGUGGAGCGGUGAAAUGCGUAGAUAUCUAUCGGAACGCCGAAGGUGAAGACAGGCUGCUGGGCUUGUACUGACGCUGAGGAACGAAAGCGUGGGGAGCAAACGGGAUUAGAUACCCCGGUAGUCCACGCCGUAAACGAUGCGCACUAGGUCGGGGAGGCUGACGCCCUCCUGGCCGAAGCAAAAGUGCUUAGUGCGCCGCCUGGGGAGUACGGUCGCAAGGCUA